rnacentral:rRNA from 1 species
AGGACGAACGCUGGCGGCGCGCUUAACACAUGCAAGUCGAGCGAGAACCGAGGCCUUCGGGCCUUGGGGAAAGCGGCGAACGGGUGAGUAACACGUGGGCAACCCACCCUUGGUACCGGGAUAGCCCGGGGAAACCCGGAUUAAUACCGGAUGGCCCAGCAGCCUCUCGGGGCGGCUGGAAAAGGGAGCUUCGGCCUCCGACCAAGGACGGGCCCGCGGCGGAUUAGCUUGUUGGUGAGGUAACGGCCCACCAAGGCGACGAUCCGUAGCUGGUCUGAGAGGACGAUCAGCCACACUGGGACUGAGACACGGCCCAGACUCCUACGGGAGGCAGCAGUGGGGAAUCUUGCGCAAUGGGCGAAAGCCUGACGCAGCGACGCCGCGUGGGGGAAGAAGGCUUUCGGGUUGUAAACCCCUUUCAGGAAGGACGAAGCUCCUCGGGUGAAUAGCCCAGAGGGUGACGGUACUUCCAGAAGAAGCCCCGGCUAACUACGUGCCAGCAGCCGC